CAGCUUGAGAAGAGACAAACUGAGGAGUGAGUUUUUGUUCUAGAGAAAAGGGGAGUCCCCUUGGCCACCCAUGCUGGGAAGAUCCUCUGAGGCAUCAUCCCAGUGGGAACUGGGCUCUGCAGGAACUAAAGCCAGAUAUCAGCAGCCAAGCUGUCAAUCUCCUUCCCGAGGGAUUUGGGCCCCCCAGGGCAGGCUUCAACCACUGAAUCCUUGGAGAGUGAACAUGUCCUGAGCAGCACCUUCUCCUCUGGCCUCCCAGCUCCACUGCUCCUGCACAGGCUCCUGGGCAGUGCAGUGUGCUUCAACGUUGGAACCAUGGAUGCUGGGAAUUUCAGAAUUCCUGUGCUGAUGGAUCCUGACCCCCAGGAGAACUCUGCAUUGACCUGAGGCCGUGGAGAAGCUUCCAGAAUGGAAUGACAGCACUGGGAUUGUGGGGGUGGAGUUUGAAUAGAAGUGUGUGAUAUCACAGGGUGGAAAACUCAGAGUUUAAGGUUUUAUAAUACAUUAAUAUAUAUAAAGCAAGAAGGAGAUUUUAGGGCAGAGGCUGGUCCUUCUUCUUCACCUUCUCCAUGGGUUUGGGUGGUUUUGUGUAAUUGGAUAAAAAAAUCCACAUUGCAAGGCACAGGUUGUUGGUUAAAAGUGAAAAAAAUUGAGGUGUAAUUUUUUAAUUGGACAGUUUAUCC
rnacentral:lncRNA from 1 species